rnacentral:tRNA from 1 species
GGAGGAAUACCCAAGUCCGGUUGAAGGGACUGGUCUUGAAAACCAGGAGGUCGGGUGACCGGCGCAGGGGUUCGAAUCCCUUUUCCUCCGCCA